rnacentral:rRNA from 1 species
AUUGAACGCUAGCGGGAUGCUUUACACAUGCAAGUCGAGCGAGCGGCGGACGGGUGAGUAAUGUAUGGGGACUGCCCGAUAGAGGGGGAUAACUACUGGAAACGGUAGCUAAUACCGCAUACUAUCGGAUAACCCAUAUGGGAUUAGCUAGUUGGGGGGGGAAAGGCGAACCAAGGCAACGAUCCGUAGCGGGUUUGAGAGGACGACCAGCCACACUGGGACUGAGACACGGCCCAGACGCCUACGGAGGCAGCAGGGGGGAAUUUUGGACAAUGGGGGAAACCCUGAUCCAGCCAUCCCGCGGGUAUGAUGAAGGCCUUCGGGUUGUAAAGUACUUUUGGCAGAGAAGCGGUAUCUGCAGAAUAAGCACCGGCUAACUACGUGCCAGCAGCCGCGGUAAUUC